rnacentral:rRNA from 1 species
UGGGGAAUCUUGCACAAUGGACGAAAGUCUGAUGCAGCAACGCCGCGUGGGGGAUGAAGCUUUUCGGAGUGUAAACCCCUUUCGACCCGGAAGAAUGCCCGCAAGGGUUUGACGGUACGGGUAUAAGAAGCCCCGGCUAACUACGUGCCAGCAGCCGCGGUAAUACGAGGGGGGCAAGCGUUGUUCGGAUUUAUUGGGCGUAAAGGGUGCGUAGGCGGUUUGGCAAGUCUUGUGUGAAAUCUUCGGGCUCAACCCGAAGCCUGCAUAAGAAACUGCCAGGCUUGAGUAUGGGAGAGGUGAGUGGAAUUUCCGGUGUAGCGGUGAAAUUCGUAGAUAUUCGCAAGAACACCAGUGGCGAAGGCGGCUCACUGGCCCGAUACUGACGCUGAGGCACGAAAGCGUGGGGAGCAAACAGGAUUAGAUACCUUGGUAGUCCACGCCGUAAACGAUGAAUGCCAGCCGUUAGUGGGUUUACUCACUAGUGGCGCAGCUAACGCUUUAAGCAUUCCGCCUGGGGAGUACGGUCGCAAGA